rnacentral:lncRNA from 1 species
UUCUGUCCAUUUCCAUCCUCCAGUUUUUGUGCAUGUUUUACCUAAGAUCAGCCCAGUUGAAUGUUCAUGUUAACAUCUACUGAUUUGUGAGUUCUGUAUGUGAGUGGUUCGUUUGGCAUGGAGAAGGAGUGUAGUGAGUAGUGUUGAUAAAUGCCAAUGGGAUUGUCAUUGAAUUAGCAGAAUGGCUUAGUUUGACAGAUGCUAUCCCAAUGUUUGGAUUUUGGAAUAUUACUUUUCUGUUUUAUCCAAGCUUGUUGACAUAUUGGGAUAUCAUUUAUCAAAUUCUGCCAUCCUGCCACCCUGCCACAGCUUGAAUUUUGUACAAUUUGAAGUACUCUUAUGCCCCACAACUUUGCACAGAAGGAGCUUGAAAUCUUUAUAUUGUUGGCUAUCAGUUAAUACGUGAACAAAUGUUUGAAGUUUCUUGGUGAAACUUGAAUGAAAAUAUUGCUUGGUAGAUGUUAGCAAUCUACCAAAUGUUUGAAGUUUCUUGGCUAUCACUUUUAUUUGUUAGCAAUCUCUUGUUGGUAGAUGUUAUCAAAUGUUUAUGUUAAAAGGAUUAUGUUUCCCCUAAGGUGACUUGCACCUCAUAUGUAACCUUGUUACACCGAAUGUGAAAGUAUGACAAUAUUAUGAUUUUUUUGUUUUUUUUUAUAGGGGUUUAUAACCCUGCCUAGAACAGUAGAAAAGUCAUUGAUAAUGUGAAUUGUGUGCUAGUACAUAUAUCGAUGCUUUUUGCUUGCAAUAUUUUGAAUAUUGGGAUUUUGACAUCUUUACAUUCCAACCGGACAAUAUGGUUAUCUUAGGACUCUAAUGUAUAGUCUCUCACUCACCAGCUCAUGUGGUUCUGAAUUGGGUUAGGUGCUUAACUCUUGUUACCAUUGGCUUGAACAUUUUCUUGUUCCCCAACCAUCAUCAGCAAUUCCUUGACCCCAAUCAUCUUUAAGAAAGAUGAGGUUAUAAAUUUGGACUCAAAUGCUUGGCAGCUAGAUCAAAGCUAUUCUGAUUCAAGUCUUAAUCACCGAAGUCCCUUGUUAGCUAUAUACACGCAUGAAUGAGUUUUGAGUUGGAGAGCUUGCCAACUUGGAGAGGGAGAACUCCGUCAAUUGAUUAAGGUAGAGGUCAGGAAUUGGUGAGGUAGACAUUCUUAAUGGCUCCUAUAGGGAAUUGUGCGGCAAUGCAAUCUCUUCAAAUUCUCAACUUUAUCCAAAGAUGCUAUAUAUUAUGCAGACAACCUCCUUGUUAAAUUAUCUUCCGAGUCAUACU